UACGUAGGGACCAAGCGUUGUUCGGAUUUACUGGGCGUAAAGGGCGCGUAGGCGGCUUGACAAGUCACUUGUGAAAUCUCCGGGCUUAACUCGGAACGGCCAAGUGAAACUGUCAUGCUAGAGUGCAGAAGGGGCAAUCGGAAUUCUUGGUGUAGCGGUGAAAUGCGUAGAUAUCAAGAGGAACACCUGAGGUGAAGACGGGUUGCUGGGCUGACACUGACGCUGAGGCCCGAAAGCCAGGGGAGCAAACGGG
rnacentral:rRNA from 1 species